UGAAUACGAGAUGCUACGGCAUCGAAGCAGUCUAUGUCAUACUUCCAAGAAAAGCUUGCACUGUCAUAGACAAAUAAUGCCUGUACCAUAACCGACACAGGUGGGUAGGUAGAGUAUACUAAGGGGCGCGAGAUAACUCUCUCUAAGGAACUCGGCAAAAUGACUCCGUAACUUCGGGAGAAGGAGUGCCUUAUUUUAUAAGGUUGCAAUAACAAGAUCCAAGCAACUGUUUACCAAAAACACAGGUCUCCGCUAAGUCGUAAGACGAUGUAUGGGGGCUGACGCCUGCCCAGUGCCAGAAGGUUAAAGAAGUUGGUUAGCAUUAGCGAAGCUGAUAACUGAAGCCCUGGUGAACGGCGGCCGUAACUAUAACGGUCCUAAGGUAGCGAAAUUCCUUGUCGGGUAAGUUCCGACCCGCACGAAAGGCGUAAUGAUUUGGAUACUGUCUCGGAGAGGGGCUCGGUGAAAUAGACUUGUCUGUGAAGAUGCGGACUACCUGCACCAGGACAGAAAGACCCUAUGAAGCUUUACUGUAACUUGAGAUUGAAAUUGGACUUUAUUUGCGCAGUAUAGGUGGGAGACGUUGAAAUAUUCUUGCGGGAAUAUUGGAGUCAUCAGUGAGAUACCACUCUUAUAAUGUUAGAUUUCUAACUUUGUAUCAUUAUCUGGUCAAAGAACAGUCUCAGGCGGGCAGUUUGACUGGGGCGGUCGCCUCCCAAACGGUAACGGAGGCGCACAAAGGUUUCCUCUGAACGUGUAGAAAUCGUAUCUAGAGUGUAAAGGCAUAAGGAAGCUUGACUGUGAGACCUACAAGUCGAGCAGGGACGAAAGUCGGUCUUAGUGAUCUGACGGUGCUGAGUGGAAAGGCCGUCACUCAACGGAUAAAAGUUACUCUAGGAUAACAGGCUGAUCUCCCCCAAGAGUUCACAUCGACGGGGAGGUUUGGCACCUCGAUGUCGGCUCAUCGCAUCCUGGGGCGGUAGUACGUCCCAAGGGUUGGGCUGUUCGCCCAUGAAAGCGGUACGCGAGCUGGGUUCAGAACGUCGUGAGACAGUUCGGUCCAUAUCCGGUGUAGGCGUUAGAAUAUUGAGAGGAGCCUUCUUUAGUACGAGAGGACCGAGAAGGACAUACCUCUGGUGUACCAGUUAUCGUGCCAACGGUAAACGCUGGGUAGCUAUGUAUGGAGAGGAUAACCGCUGAAAGCAUCUAAGUGGGAAGCCCACCUCAAGAUAAG
rnacentral:rRNA from 1 species